AGUUUGCUGUGAUGAAUCAUUAGGAUAGUAUAGCAAGGCGGCUCUUAAAAAAGGUCCCUUCUUUGAUUAUAAAUCCUAAACAGAUCAUAAAUUAUGAGCAAAGA
rfam:Triticum aestivum genome assembly, contig: Triticum_aestivum_CS42_TGACv1_scaffold_129298_2BL